AAAGUGCGGGGAUGAGGUGUGGGUAGCGGAGAAAUUCCAAUCGAACUUGGAGAUAGCUGGUUCUCUCCGAAAUAGCUUUAGGGCUAGCCUCGAGGUAAAGAGUCAUGGAGGUAGAGCACUGUUUGGACUAGGGGCCCUUCUCGGGUUACCGAAUUCAGAUAAACUCCGAAUGCCAUGUACUUAUACUCGGGAGUCAGACUGCGAGUGAUAAGAUCCGUAGUCGAAAGGGAAACAGCCCAGACCACCAGUUAAGGUCCCCAAAUAUAUGUUAAGUGGAAAAGGAUGUGGGGUUGCUUAGACAACCAGGAUGUUGGCUUAGAAGCAGCCACCAUUGAAAGAGUGCGUAAUAGCUCACUGGUCGAGUGACCCCGCGCCGAAAAUGUACCGGGGCUAAACAUAUUACCGAAACUGUGGAUGAACCUCUUUAGAGGUUCGUGGUAGGAGAGCGUUCUAAGGGCGGUGAAGUCAGACCGGAAGGACUGGUGGAGCGCUUAGAAGUGAGAAUGCCGGUAUGAGUAGCGAAAGAAGGGUGAGAAUCCCUUCCACCGAAUAUCUAAGGUUUCCUGAGGAAGGCUCGUCCGCUCAGGGUUAGUCGGGACCUAAGCCGAGGCCGAUAGGCGUAGGCGAUGGACAACAGGUAGAGAUUCCUGUACCAGUGCUAAUUGUUUAACCGAUGGGGUGACACAGAAGGAUAGGGAAUCGCACGAAUGGAAAUGUGCGUCCAAGCAGUGAGUGUGAGAAGUAGGCAAAUCCGCUUCUCGCGAAGCAUGAGCUGUGAUGGGGAAGGAAAUUAAGUACGGAAGUUCCUGAUUUCACGCUGUCAAGAAAAGCCUCUAGGAAGAGUAGUACUGCCCGUACCGCAAACCGACACAGGUAGAUGAGGAGAGAAUCCUAAGGUGAGCGAGAGAACUCUCGUUAAGGAACUCGGCAAAAUGACCCCGUAACUUCGGGAGAAGGGGUGCUCUAUUAGGGUGCAAGCCCGAGAGAGCCGCAGUGAAUAGGCCCAGGCGACUGUUUAGCAAAAACACAGGUCUCUGCAAAACCGUAAGGUGACGUAUAGGGGCUGACGCCUGCCCGGUGCUGGAAGGUUAAGAGGAGUGCUUAGCUUCGGCGAAGGUACGAAUUGAAGCCCCAGUAAACGGCGGCCGUAACUAUAACGGUCCUAAGGUAGCGAAAUUCCUUGUCGGGUAAGUUCCGACCCGCACGAAAGGCGCAACGAUCUGGGCACUGUCUCAACGAGAGACUCGGUGAAAUUAUAGUACCUGUGAAGAUGCAGGUUACCCGCGACAGGACGGAAAGACCCCGUGGAGCUUUACUGCAACCUGAUAUGGAAUGUUUGUACCGCUUGUACAGGAUAGGUAGGAGCCGAAGAGACGUGUGCGCUAGCAUACGAGGAGGCAAUGGUGGGAUACUACCCUGGCUGUAUGACCAUUCUAACCCGCCACGCUUAGCGCGUGGGGAGACAGUGUCAGGUGGGCAGUUUGACUGGGGCGGUCGCCUCCUAAAGAGUAACGGAGGCGCCCAAAGGUUCCCUCAGAAUGGAUGGAAAUCAUUCGCAGAGUGUAAAGGCACAAGGGAGCUUGACUGCGAGACUGACAAGUCGAGCAGGGACGAAAGUCGGGCUUAGUGAUCCGGUGGUUCCGCAUGGAAGGGCCAUCGCUCAACGGAUAAAAGCUACCCCGGGGAUAACAGGCUUAUCUCCCCCAAGAGUCCACAUCGACGGGGAGGUUUGGCACCUCGAUGUCGGCUCGUCGCAUCCUGGGGCUGUAGUCGGUCCCAAGGGUUGGGCUGUUCGCCCAUUAAAGCGGCACGCGAGCUGGGUUCAGAACGUCGUGAGACAGUUCGGUCCCUAUCCGUCGCGGGCGCAGGAAAUUUGAGAGGAGCUGUCCUUAGUACGAGAGGACCGGGAUGGACACACCGCUGGUGUACCAGUUGUUCCGCCAGGAGCAUCGCUGGGUAGCUAUGUGUGGCAGGGAUAAACGCUGAAAGCAUCUAAGCGUGAAGCCCCCCUCAAGAUGAGAUUUCCCAUUUCUUCGGAAAGUAAGAUCCCUGAAAGAUGAUCAGGUAGAUAGGUUUGGAGUGGAAGUGUAGCGAUACAUGGAGCGGACAAAUACUAAUCGAUCGAGGACUUAACCAAAA
rnacentral:rRNA from 1 species